CUUGAGAAGCUUGUAUCCUUUGGAUUCUUUGGACCUAACGAGCCAGGACAGCCUAUACCGAAGGAGAGAAUUUCAUACCCUGCCGAUUUCUAGGGCUUGCGUUGCUUGGAUGUUAUUGCCCUUGCCCCCACGCCAGCUUGCUCUCUCAUCCCUCCCACCUUUGCCUAUACCUAGGAUUCCCAUUUGGUUCGGCUGUAGUUUCAUAGAUCUACAUGGGAAUCUUCGUCAGAUCGAUCAUGCAGUUACGGCCAAUCAAGCAGAGAUCGAUUGGCCUACCAGAGAGCUGACAUUAGAAGACUGACACCCACAG
rnacentral:lncRNA from 1 species